AUUGAACGCUGGCGGCAGGCCUAACACAUGCAAGUCGAACGGUAACAGGAAGAAGCUUGCUUCUUUGCUGACGAGUGGCGGACGGGUGAGUAAUGUCUGUGAAACUGCCUGAUGGAGGGGGAUAACUACUGGAAACGGUAGCUAAUACCGCAUAACGUCGCAAGACCAAAGAGGGGGACCUUCGGGCCUCUUGCCAUCGGAUGUGCCCAGAUGGGAUUAGCUAGUAGGUGGGGUAACGGCUCACCUAGGCGACGAUCCCUAGCUGGUCUGAGAGGAUGACCAGCCACACUGGAACUGAGACACGGUCCAGACUCCUACGGGAGGCAGCAGUGGGGAAUAUUGCACAAUGGGCGCAAGCCUGAUGCAGCCAUGCCGCGUGUAUGAAGAAGGCCUUCGGGUUGUAAAGUACUUUCAGCGGGGAGGAAGGGAGUAAAGUUAAUACCUUUACUCAUUGACGUUACCCGCAGAAGAAGCACCGGCUAACUCCGUG
rnacentral:rRNA from 1 species